rnacentral:lncRNA from 9 species
AGUGCUGAGUCCUGCCAGGCUGGGGGCAGGGUGGGGGGUAGGGAGAAAUCCAACUAGGGGACCCAUGGAUCUUGAAGGGGUGCCAAGAGUGCGCAGAGAGAUGCGCCCAGAGGGAUGGAGCUUCGUGCCUGCAGUUGAGCAUUGAGGAAGAAGACACGUGGGGGGAGCCUGGGGUCUAGAUGAAGAUGCAACUGCCUUUGGAAAAGAAGCAGCUGUCCCUCAUCUCAGCCAAGAGAGGGGCAGUUUGGUGUUCGGUGACUGGAUGCCUUGGCUGACACGGCGCCCUUGUUUCUGUCUGUGCUGAGACGGAGUGAUGAAAUGGCCGUGCUUUGCCGCGUCCCAUCAUCGUCUCCGAGGAGCCUCGCCUGAGCUGGGUGUCUCUGAGAACGCUGAUGGCCAGCGGGAGGGUUGAGCCAUUCUCUUCUUCACUAGUAAGGAUCCAGGCCAAGCUUCACCACGAGGUGGUAACUGGUAGAACACACCUGCCUGCAGAGCAUGAUGCCAAGCAUUUGUUUGUUGGUUAGAAUUUCCUUCUCUCCGCCACCCCUCAGCUUUACUGAGAUAUCAUUGACAAAAUCGUGUGCCUUUAAAGUGUACUAUGGGGGAGUUCCUGUGGCGGCUUAGCGGGUUAAGAACCUAACAUCGUCUCCCUGAGGAUUCAGGUUCAAUCCUUUGCCUUGCUC